rnacentral:rRNA from 1 species
AGCUCCAAUAGCAUAUAUUAAAGUUGUUGCGGUUAAAAAGCUCGUAGUUGGAUUUCUGCUGGGGACAAUCGGUCCGCCCUCUGGGUGAGCAUCUGAUUUGGCCCUGGCAUCAUCUAGGUUGACGUUGCCGCACUUCACUGUGUGGUACGGAGUCCUAGACUUUUACUUUGAGGAAAUUAGAGUGUUUCAAGCAGGCCCACGCCUUGAAUAUAUUAGCAUGGAAUAAUAAGAUAUGAUCUCAGCUCUAUUUUGUUGGUUUCUAGAGUUGGGAUAAUGAUUAAUAGGGAUAGUUGGGGGCAUUCGUAUUUAACUGUCAGAGGUGAAAUUCUUGGAUUUGUUAAAGACGGACUACUGCAAAAGCAUUUGCCAAGGAUGUUU